AAGGAUCAUUAAAGAGACGUUGCCCUUCGGGGUAUACCUCCCACCCUUUGUUUAUUAUACCUUUGUUGCUUUGGCGGGCCCGUCCUCGGACCACCGGCUUCGGCUGGUCAGCGCCCGCCAGAGGACCUAAAACUCUGUUUGUUCAUAUUGUCUGAGUACUAUAUAAUAGUUAAAACUUUCAACAACGGAUCUCUUGGUUCUGGCAUCGAUGAAGAACGCAGCGAAAUGCGAUAAGUAAUGUGAAUUGCAGAAUUCAGUGAAUCAUCGAAUCUUUGAACGCACAUUGCGCCCCCUGGUAUUCCGGGGGGCAUGCCUGUUCGAGCGUCAUUACAACCCUCAAGCUCUGCUUGGUAUUGGGCUCUGCCGGUCCCGGCAGGCCUUAAAAUCAGUGGCGGUGCCAUUCGGCUUCAAGCGUAGUAAUUCUUCUCGCUUUGGAGACCCGGGUGCGUGCUUGCCAGCAACCCCCAAUUUCAGGUUGACCUCGGAUCAGGUAGGGAUACCCGCUGAACUUAA
rnacentral:rRNA from 1 species